UACGUAGGUGGCAAGCGUUGUCCGGAUUUACUGGGCGUAAAGGAUGCGUAGGCGGACAUUUAAGUCAGAUGUGAAAUACCCGAGCUUAACUUGGGUGCUGCAUUUGAAACUGGGUGUCUAGAGUGCAGGAGAGGUAAGUGGAAUUCCAGGUGUAGUGGUGGAAUGCGUAGAGAUCCGGAGGAACACCAGCGGCGAAGGCGGCAUCCUGGACUGGUCCUGACACUCAGGAGCGAAAGCGUGGGGAGCGAUCCGG
rnacentral:rRNA from 1 species